CAGCUAUAUCACUCUCUGUCCCUUGGAUCCCUGCUCACUCAAGUUGCGCAGGGGGAAAAUGGCAGUACUCAUUCAGCUGGCUUUGUUUUCUGCGGUUCUUGCAGGUGUCCAAUCUCAGGUAAAACUGGAGGAGUCUGGAGGGGAUGUGAAAAGACCCGGGGAAUCCCUCCGCCUCUCCUGUCGGGCCUCCGGCUUCACCUUCAGCAGCUACGGCAUGAACUGGGUGCGACAGGCCCCGGGGAAGGGACUGGAAUGGAUUGCAAUUAUCUGGUAUGACGGGAGCCAGCAAUACUAUGCAGACAAGGUGAAGGGGCGAUUCACCAUCUCCAGAGACAACCCCUCCAACAUGCUGUACCUGCAAAUGAACAACCUGAAAGCUGAGGACACAGCUGUGUAUUACUGUGCAAGAGACACAUUGGGAGGAAAUGAAUCUGAAGCCUGGCAAAAACCCAGCCUCAUUUGGCAGCUCUCUGGGGAGAAGCAGCUGCAGUUCAUUGAGUCAGAUUAUUAA